rnacentral:lncRNA from 1 species
CGCGGCAAAAAGGAAACAUGGCACCUAUACCCAUCCACCGUCCAAAAAGUCUAGGUGUUGCAUUUCCAGCAAAUCCACCAAUAUCAGGUCCUGAAUGUGGCCGACCACUAAGUCCCUAAUACAAAUUAAAUCAUUUAUGAGAACAUAGAAGAUGUCAGAAAGAAAUAACCCCAAAAAAAAAAGAAAAAAAAAUGUUGCCACCAAGUAAUUCAGUUCAAAAAUUGGGAACCAAGACAAAUAGUUCUGCAAAGCCAGCUGUGUGUUAAGAUAAUGUCAGAUGUCAGAAUUGUAUCCAAAUACAAACUUAAGCAAAUAUCUUUAGGACACAUUGUUUCAAAGUUAAACAAAGGCUUGCAUUAGUAUGUUUUCUGGCUGACAGACUCAUAGCCUAAGACUAAUAAACAAAAAGUCAUAGAGAAGCAAGAUAAUGCCAAAAGACUAUAGCCAGGCACAAAUAAUUACUGUAAGCCUGCAUUGAUAUGAUACUAAAAUUGAUGAAAGCGACGUAUCACGAAGUGUUGUGCAGAUCCAGCAAAGUGUUUUUUUUUUUUAAUUUUUUUUGGUGGGGGGAAGGAAUAGGAGACGCAGCUUAAUUACUUGAAGCAGGAUUGAAAGAGGGAAAACACGACCUCAUGGUUUACUCCAAGAACCCUAUUGAUUGAAGAUGAUGAAAGAUCGCUCAUCAUCCAAAUAAAACCAUCACAAAGCUCUAGAAUUCUAGGUAGCAUAUAAAUUUCAUGCCCUAGCUGAAGGAAAAAGAUGAUUAACAGGGACUGCGGAAUUGGUAUAAUGAGGCAGUCAAGGGUAUUUGGUUAUGAAGAACUAGUAUAAUUUGAUAGGUGAAAAUAAAAAGUCUAAAGAAAGAUCGAAGGCAAAAAAGUUGAAUACCUUUAAUAAGAAGAAUGAGAAAAUAAAUUUCUUUUGGGAAACAAAGAAACUUAUACUAAAAAGAAGGGAUAUACAAAGAAUUAAGUGAGUUCACAAAAAAAGAACUCCUAAAAGAUCACAAAAAUGUUGUAUCCAAUUCUAAACUGAUAAGCUUUCCGAUAAAAGCAUAGGAUCUUUAGGACUAAAUUGUAUCAAAACAAAUAAAGCAAACCCAAAAUUCAAAAAAUAAAUUCAGGACCCCUUCCCAAGUUAGAUCUAUGAUGAAUUAGAAGAUUAAGACAAAACAACGUUGAUCUAAGAUUCUGCUUAAUGGUUGGUUCCACAGUUUUCAGGUUUUAGACAAAGCAAAAGAUAACUAUUAAUACUCUUGAAAGAGAGCACAAACCAAACUUCUUAUCCGCAUACAUCAUUCAUACAGCACUUAAGUCUUCCUUAAAAAGAAAGUGUAAAGAUUGCUCAGAGAGACAAAAGCAUCACCUAUAGCAGGGGGAAAAGGCAUAAAUUAUUUAGGCCAUAAAGCGUUUAGCUCAUUAGUACUUUGUGAAAACAGAAAAAAUGAACAACUGAACACUUACCAAUUGAAGUACCAUGGAUAUACUCAUAUGAAGGCGCUCCCAAUUUGAAACGUUAUCUCCUGUCCAUGUGGCAGCAUAUCUUUGACUACCAAUAAAUCCAGCUCUGGUGAGAACAAAAGGACGCUUAUCUUUAUCAGCUAACUUCAUGCCUUCAUAUGUUGAUCUUGCCAUUAGCAAGCCAUAAACCUAAGUUUGGCAGCCCAUGUUAAUAACGGCCAUCAUGGGAAUAACCAUUCACACAUGGGUUGGCACUACAUUGCGGGCAAAAUAGCAUAACCAAAGAGAUCUAUGCACGUACAAACUAAUAGCAAAAGAGAUUACAUGUAAGAAGAAAGCCACCAGAUUAGGGUUGAAAAAUUAUACGUUGUGAUAGUACGAGUGAUUUUGACAACCUCCAAUUUCAUCAUCCCCUCUGUGGAUGUUGCUCUCAGGCAUUGUCUUUGUUACAGACUGAAAAAAAGAAAGAAAGUAGUAAGACCACAUACAAAUAAAAGAGCAUGCGCAUGCAUAGGAAUAAAUUUAAGAAUAACCUUAAAGACAGCUGGCUCGUUCAUAUCAUUCCAUAUACCAUCAACUCCAUUAUAAAUGAAAUCCUUAACUAAAGAGGCCCACCAGGAACGAACUUUUGAUUGUGUAUAAUCAGGGAAAACACAAGGCCCAGGCCACACCUCCCCUGAAACAAGGACAUUGGUGACUUUAACACCUCAAAAAAUUAAUUUAAAGAAUCAGCUUCAUCAAAUAAAGAGAAGUACCAAUAAAAGGCGUCCCAUCUGCUUUCUGAAUCCAGACAUCAAUUUUAGAGCCGCUAUCAUACACAAAAUAGCCAUCUUCAUGUUUAAUUCCUGGAUCAAGCAUCCAGAUUGCUUUGAAACCAUUAAGGUGGAGAUCCGUGGCCAAAGAUUUUGGAUCUGGGAAACGCUCCUAAAAGAAAUCAAUAUAAGUCACUCCCCAUGUCAAUGAUUAUAGUGUUCUCACAUAAUGGGUAUUAUACAGCUAUAUAAUAGCAACGCCUUGCCAGCAGACAUGUCCUUAUAACAAAAAAACAUCAGUGUGGAUAUUGUUAAGUUCAAAAAGGUUGUCCAUAACCAAGUUUUUGUCCUAGCAGAUCUUAGGCCAGCAAAUCAACAAAGGGACCAUUUUUUUUUUUAAUUUAUAUACUAACCUUCAUGAGAGGAAUUAGUUUCAGAUAUUUUUAAUAUUACUGCAUCUCGAGCACAUUGAAAUGAAACUGAAGAUCUAGCAACUACUCUACUUAAUCAAUUUUUGGAAGUCUAAACGAACUAACGAAACUCCUUCUCUGGGUCGAUAUUUUCUUUUUACUGCUUUAAUGAAUGUUAUUUGAUUUUAAGUUAUAAUAAAUUAAUGGUGCAAUAGACACAUCAUCCAGAAAUAUCAUUAAGAAAGAACAUGCCUUGUCAAAAGUGAAACAACGAAAUCCAUCCAUGUAGUCGAUAUCCAUCCAUAUAACAUCACGCGGUAUACCAUUCUCACGAAAUGUCCCGCAAAUCUGAAUAUAUAAUGGAUUAAUAAUCAGAAAAGCACAAAAUAAAAUGUAUAAUAGAAGAUAUAGAAAGCACAAUGGUGAUCAUAACUUUAGGAAUAACAAUUUUUCAGAAUUUUGUUGUUCUUCUAAAAAAGAAGCAAAUCAGGAAGAAAAUUCAUUGGGAAAAAGAGAAAGAGCCAACCUCACAAACUCUCUUAUCAGAAUAAUAGCUCCAGCGACAUUGGUGGUAACCUAAGGACCAUUUUGGUGGCACAAACAUGGUCCCUAGUAAGAAAAAUCAACAAUUACAAAGUAUGAGCUGAAGCCAUAUGUUAUUGUUCUUGUGGACAGCUUUUUCACUUUUGUAAACCCAUAAAUGUAAAUAAAAAUAGAAAUUUCUUUUCUUUAAAGAAGAAUAAAUUUUAAAAAAAAAUUGUGAAGAUGACACAUUAAAAAUAAAAAGACCCAGGAAGCUCUUGAAACACUAGCAUAACUGCUACAAUGCAGCUCCUGUGAAGAAUGAAGAUGGACAAGUAUGCAAAAUUCCAUAACUAUUCAUUAUUUCCAUCAUUGCUCUGUUUAACUGGAGGCCUCUAUCUAUUUCAUCAAUGAUAAUUCACGGACUCAAACGAUGAAAAAAGCUCAUAACAGAUCAUUAUAGGUCAUUAAAUUAUAUUAAUGGGAGCUUGAUUAUGUUAUAAUUCAGGGACUCAAACGAUGAAACAAGGUCAUAACAGAUCAUUAUAAGUCAUGAAAGUAUAUUAAUGGGAGUUUGGUUCUGUUUCUCAAAUAGAUUUUAUGUUUCCAAAAACAAAAAGUAUAAUUUUACUAGGAGUGGUGUUUUCUAGAAACCAAUUUGUACAACAAAAAAUGAAAUUAUAGCUAGAAUUUUGGAAUUAUGAAAAUGAAUUAACUCCAAAAGAUAAAUAAUAACAUUAACAAUAAUAUAAAAAUCUCAUUUUCAAGAAUACCAAAUACGUUCUCCAAUUUUAAUUUGUGAAAAAAAUUAUAGCAGUCAUAACCAAAAGCAUUCUUUGAUCAAGUAAACAUCAUUUGAAGAACAUCAACUGUCAUUUUCAUAAGUAGGUUUGAGAACUGUUUUUUAAAAUGAUACGAAACACACUUUUAGCCACUCCGUCCAUUAAGCUUGAUUAAAGAAGGAUUGCUUUUAUAUUUUUAGGAUUACUCUUAUUAUUGUAUUAACAGAGAAGCUUUUAGAGCAAAGUAUAUAUAUCUAAAUACCUCAACAAAACACAGAAUUCAACUCAUGCAUCACUCAAGGAAGAGUUAAAAGAAAAAUAGAUACCCUUUAAACCACAAAAAACAAAGGAACAUAUUAUAUGUAUUAUGUUUCCUGAUUCAAAAUGAAAAUCAUGAAAGAGCAAACUGUGACAGAGGAAGUUAUCUUGACAUCAUAAAAACUUGACAAGGACAUGGAGCACUUCAAGAAGAGAAAGCUUGGUCCGGGAGAUUACCAACUGCAUGAGAAAGAGAAACCAGAACAGCAGUAGGAGAAGUGAAAGGACCAAAUGUAAUAACAGGAUAUGAGGAUGGAGCAAUGAACUGUAUUGUUGAUUCUUUCCUCAGAUCAAUCUGCAGGAGAAUAAAUACAGAGGAAUGUUAGGAUAGAUCAAUGUGGAUUACCACAAAAGUUCAUAAUAAGUUAACUUUUUACUCAAUAAGCAUUCAACAACCCCACCCCAACCCCACUCCCUCUCUCAUUUUGGCGCCUACUUAAUUAAAGGGUAAAUACAAUGAAGCUCCUGGAGUUUUAGUCUGAAAUCAAGCUGCUCCACACUUUUUUCAUGUUUCUCAUUUAACUUCCCAUUACAAUCCAUCAAUUUCCUCAACUGACAAACAAUAGAAUGCUGAAAAAAACCAAUUAAUCAAUCUAAGAAAUAAAAUACAGCAGAAAAAACAAAAGUAAGCUUUGGAAAUUAGGAGCAAAUAUGAGAGUCACUAUAGGCUAGUUUUGAGAGAAAUCUGAAGUAUAUUCGCUUUAGUCCAACCACGGCCACGUGUGAAGACUGGGAAAAAGACCUUAAAGCUGCUUUGUUUUAGGCCAAGAGUCAAAGAGUUGAAUAAUAUUUACCCUUUAAUUAAUGAGAUUCGAAACACAAAACAAGCACACAAUGGACCAAAAAACAACUCAAAAGCAAGACAUCAUGACUUUCCAUGCCAUGUUAAAACUAAACAACAUUACAAUUCAAACAUUUAACCUCACAAGAAAAAAAGCCCCAGCAGUAAUACUUAAACAAGUUUAAGUUCACAAGAAAGCCACACCGCACAUCAACGUGUUGUGUCAGCAAGAACCCCCAAUGCCUCUCCAUUCGGAAGAACAGCAAGCACCCAAGGAUGCGACUGACACAAAGACGUUGUUCCAGUACCAUAGCCGGACGAGUCCGUGUUCCGUGUAAAAAUCUACAGGCAAAAAGAUCACCACAUUGUAGUUGAACAAGUAAAUAAGGGCUCACUGCACAUCAUAUUUAAAAAAUAAAAAAUAGACAGGAACUCACUCUCUUUCCCGUCCGCUCUAGCUGACCACUAACUUCCCCAGUUCCAUACAAUGAGGUACCAGCAGGAAACUAAAAUCCGAACCAAAAGCCAUCAAAUUAAUUAAGCUUGAAAAAAAAAAAAAAAAGACAAGCAUUACUAAAGAAAUUAAGAAAAUGCAAUGUCCGCAGAGAGUGGACCUCAAGUUUGACUAUCUGUUGACCGUGAACACAUUGAUAAGUGGGAGUGUAUAAAGGGCGCGUGCGAGUCGAGAUUGGCGUGUCCCUAUCGUUUCCAUUCACAAACCAGAGACUCGGAUACGCUGCUUGACGAUCACUCGCCGAACAAUCGAACCGGAAAACUCCCUACCAGUUACCAUACAAUUUGGUAAUAAACACGUCAGAAAUCUAAUCAAUUUAAUAUUACAGAUGCAAAUCUACCAAAAGAAAGAAAUAAAACCAAACAAAAUGCAUAAUCAUUGAAACUGUUAAAACAGACAGUAAGAAUUUUAGGUGUGGCGACUAAAUUCACAAGACAAUAACUUAUGUCGAUUUGUUGAGUAAAUUGAGAAAAAGAAUGGGGAGAAGAAACAUGAAGAAAAAUAAAUCAAUAACUAGAAUUAGACAUUAAUUUUAUAAUUUUAAUAGGUUACUUCUUUGUAAAAAUGAGGAAUUUAAUUGGUUAAUUGUAAUAAACCGCCAGUUAAGUUGACUUUUAGUAAACACUACGGAAUUAUCCGAAAAUUACCCUAAUAGAAUAGAAAAAAAAAAGUAAAAAUAAAACACCCACCCAGCAGCGGACCAUCGUGUAAUUAAAUCUUCCCAACAACGCGCGGGGGAAGCAGACAAAGUACCACUCACCAGCUCUCAGAUAUGCUCUCUUCUUGGCCUUGCUCUUCUUCAAAGGUACUGCUCAAAUUCAAAAACCUUCUAACUGUUUGGCGUUCUAUUAACAAGUGUUACUGCUCAGAAUCAAAAACCCAUAUCUCAGAUUUACAAUUCAACCAAGCUAAUGCCAUUUUAGCCAACCUCAUCAAAACCAAUAACCCCACUCCUGCCAUUCAGUUUUUCAAAUGGACUCACAACUGUGUCAGCUCACCCAAUAUUGCACAGCUAAUUCACGUACUGCUGCAGUCCGAUAUGAGGGAUGUGGCUUCGCAUGUUUUCGACAAAAUGGUUAUUCAAUUUGGAAAAACUUACAACUUUUUUCGCCUGUUUCGUGACAGUUUGGGAGAUUUUGGUUGUGAUUAUAGCUUCUUGAUUGAAAAUUAUGUUAGAAUUGGAAAGAUUGAUGAGUCUGUUGAGAUUUUUGCUUAUAUGUCUGACAUGGGUAUUUAUUUGUCGCCGGAUUUGGUGCAAAGACUGAUGAGCUGUUUAGUUGAUUCGAAUAGCGUUGGUCUACUUGCUGAUCAGUAUUAUAAGCUGUGUAGAGCAAUGAGAGGGAAGGGGUUUUGCGUGUAUGAGUUUUUAAUGAAUGGUUUAUUGAGGAAGGGUGUGAUUGAAAAUGCUUUUCAUAUGCAUCGACAGGUGAUUCAGAGGGGUUUUGUGCCUAAUAUUGUCACUUGUUAUAAAAUUUUGAAACGCCUUUGCAUAAACGGUCAGAUUGGAAAUGCUUCUAGUUUGUUUGAUGUGUUGCUACUGGUUGGUCCGAAACCGAAUGUGGUGACAUUUAGCACAUUGAUUAAUGCAUUUUGCAAGAAGGCAAAAUUGGAAAAAGCAUUUCAGCUUUAUAAUCUAAUGAUGGAGAUGGAUUUGGUGCCUGAUCUAAUUAUCUAUAGUAUUCUUAUUGAUGGCCUUUUCAAGGCAGGUAGACUGAAGGAAGGGAAUGAACUACUGUUGACGGCACUGGAUAGAGGUUUAAAGUUGGAUGUUGUUGUUUUCAGUUCAGUUAUGGAUGCAUAUGUGGGAAUUGGGGAUGUUGGGAGGGCUGUGCAGACAUAUGAUAGAAUGUUGAAUGAAGGGUUUUUGCCAAAUGUGAUUAGUUAUAGUAUCCUUAUAAAGGGAUUGUGUCAGCAGGGUAGGCUUGUUGAGGCUUGUGGGUUAUUUGGUCAGGUUCUGAUUCGAGGGCUAGAGCCAUCUCUCCUAACUUACAGCAGUCUGAUUGAUGGCUUUUGCAAAUCAGGAAAAUUGAGAGAUGGCUUCUCUUUGUAUGAUAAUAUGAUAAAGAGGGGCCUUAAACCUGAUGCAGUUGUUUGCAGCUUGUUAAUAAAUGAUCUUUGCAAACAAGGGUUGAUGGGUGACAUCAAAUAUCAACAACAUUCUCAUUACAACUAUUACAUUUCAUAAUCCAAAAAAUGACACUACAAAGUUUUUUUCCAUGACCUAUGCCCAAAUAAUUUUACAACCAAGGCUUGUCGAAAUUGUGUAACAUGAUUUUAUUGGCAGUAUGAAUUGACAUCAAGUCCAUGGGCUAGGACCUCCAAGUACCGCAACAAAAAUGCUCCACAGUCACUACUAAAAAAAUUCAUAUAAAUCAAUUGUUAAAAAUCAUCAUUCUUAUUAUUAUGUUCAAAACACAUUAUAUAUAUAGUACAUACCCUGAUUUUUGUUGCGGGAUGUCACGCACUCGCACGAUGGGCCAAAGAAUUUUCGAAAUAACCUCACUACAGUCUGGAUGUGUUUCGUGAUAUGCUAUCUUCUGAAGUACUAGAGGUAUCAUGUCUGCAACAGGCAGCAAUUGUCUCACCAAAACUGAAUCCUUUGUUAAGUCUAUCAUGGAGUCAUAAAUAGAAAUCUUGCCCCCAAGUAUAUCGACCACACCAAGAACCCAAUGAUCAUUCAUGAAUAUUGGCAAAUACACCUACGAAAUACAGACAAUAUUCUUAACAAGUAAUGGCAAAUAUAUCUACGAAAUGCGGUAACUGUUUUUAUCUACUUGCAGUUGAUUUAUUAAUAGUGUACUAUCAAUAGUUUUAUGCUGAAACAAAUAGCAAAUUGUUAAUAAAUUAGAAUUGCAAAAUAAAGGUUUUACAGCAAAUAAUAGAGAAAACCCAGAUUGUAGCAUAAUGAAUGCAUACGCAGCUGAAGAAAAUUGAUAUAUAAUUCCCAUGGAUGAAGUUCAACUACAAACAAUAAGUAAAAUUAUAUAAAGAUCUAAUGCAUAAACUAGUGUAGCCAUAACCGAAAAUUCAUAAGGAUAAUAUUUAAUUAGGAACUCCCACAACCAUUAUUAAAGAGCUAUGAAUUCACUCUCUUCAAUUUCAAAUUCACAAGUUAAAGAAGCUUCAUUACAUUACUAGCAAGAAAGAUUAUCAGUAAAUAAGCAAGAUAAUGAUCAAAAUCAUGUGGGUAAUUUGUUUUUUAAAACCCUAAUGCAUAUAACCCUAACAAUUAUGCACCAUAAAUUCUCUUUAUAAAGUAAAAAAUAAGUGUAAAUGUGGUUAAUGACCUUUAGUUCGGUGAAUUUCCAGCCUUUAAUUCGGUGAUUUUGUAGCCUUUAAUGUGGUGGAUGAACUUGCAGCAGCAGGAGCAUGAACUUGCAGUAGCAGGACAGGCGUUGUGUAUGGUAGCUCGUGAAGGCAGAUUUUGAAAUUUGAAGAAUUAAAUUGGGGUAAUUUUGUAAUUGCACAUUGAAAAAGGUAUAUGAAAGAAAUUUUGAAUUAUGGGGGUGUAGUUGGAUAAAUACCUAACCUUUAGGGUAUAGCGGGACAAAUCCCUGAAUGGAUGAUGCCAUUAUGAUGUUCUCCAAAAUGUUGGAAAAGGGUCCCAAGCCCAAUGUGAUCAUUUAUAGUUGUUUAAUUGACGGUUAUUUCAAAUCUCAAAUAUGAAAAGUGCCUUUGAGGUUUAUGAAGAGAUGUGUGAAAACAAUGUCUCUCCAAAUAUUGUAAGUUACAGCAUCCUCAUUGAUGGUCUUUGCAAAAGAGGACUUAUGGAGGAAGCAUCGUGUGCUUUUCAUUGUGCUCUAGACAAUCAUUUAUUGCCCGAUGUGGUCACUUAUGCAAUCUUGAUUCGUGGUUACUGCUAGGCUGGAAGACCAACUAAAGCUAUGCAGUUGUAUAACAGUAUGUUGAGAAAUGGAAUCAUGCCAGACGGUCUACUGCUAAGCACACUUGCUGGCUAUAAUCUUCAAAGUAGUGGGUCACAAGAGUUUUGUACUUAAAUCUGACAUUUCAAGAUUUUUCUUCAUCCAUAUCACAAGCUCAUAUGAUUUGCAUCUUUUUAUUGUGCUUAAGAGAGGCGGUUGAUUUGUUUUUAAAAUAUAAAAGGAAUGUUUCUAAAGUGUUCUUUCAGUUAUAAUUAGCCUUUUAACAUAUAAUUGUGCCUUUUUGGUCAUCAAUAAUAGGAAAUCAAUUUCAUUCUCCGUAACUUGAAGUACUUACAAGAAUCCACUCAUUCAAGUUUGAAACAGAAAAAGGUUAUAAUAACAAUGCUAAAGCAGAACAAAACCUCUUCCCCAAAAGACCGAGGCUCAUGGUCAAUAGUGUUGGUUUCAGAGUGCCCGCGGCAAAAAGGAAACACGGCACGUAUACCCAUCCACCGUCCAAAAAGUCUAGGUGUUGCAUUUCCAGCAAAUCCACCAAUAUCAGGUCCUGAAUGUGGCUGACCACUAAGUCCCUAAUACAAGUUAAAUCAUGUAUGAGAACGUAGAAUAUGUCAGAAAGAAAUAACCCAAAAACAGAAAGACAAAAAGCAUAUGUUGCCUCCAAGUAAUUCAGUUCAAAA